GACGAACGCUGGCGGCGUGCUUAACACAUGCAAGUCGAACGGAAAGGCCCUGCUUUUGUGGGGUGCUCGAGUGGCGAACGGGUGAGUAACACGUGAGUAACCUGCCCUUGACUUUGGGAUAACUUCAGGAAACUGGGGCUAAUACCGGAUAGGAGCUCCUGCUGCAUGGAGGGGGUUGGAAAGUUUCGGCGGUUGGGGAUGGACUCGCGGCUUAUCAGCUUGUUGGUGGGGUAGUGGCUUACCAAGGCUUUGACGGGUAGCCGGCCUGAGAGGGUGACCGGCGACCUUGGGACUGAGAUACGGCCCAGACUCCUACGGGAGGCAGCAGUGGGGAAUAUUGCACAAUGGGCGGAAGCCUGAUGCAGCAACGCCGCGUGCGGGAUGACGGCCUUCGGGUUGUAAACCGCUUUCGCCUGUGACGAAGCGUGAGUGACGGUAAUGGGUAAAGAAGCACCGGCUAACUACGUG
rnacentral:rRNA from 1 species